UUUAACCCUUGUAUGUGAGGUUCAUAUUUUUGUUACACAGCCAAUGGUCCCGGGUCUGGUGGACCCACCACAUUAUCAGGCUUUUAAAACAAUACAGACAUAACAAUUACUGUAAAAAUACUCAACAGAUGUUUACUUUAGCUCAAUUACCUAUGAUAUAUAUACAUCAUUUAUGGUUC